rnacentral:lncRNA from 1 species
GUUUAUUAAUGUUCAGACUCCUUAAGAGUCUGCCCACUAUGACAGAUGUUCUAAUAAACCUUGUCUUUGGCUGAAAGAAGGCUUGGGUUGAAUUCUUUGAGGCAGGAUCUGCAUGUUGUGAUUUUGGGGUCCCAGCACCCCUAAGCCCCUAAACCUCAUCAUGACCAUCGGCAAUUCAUUCAGCCCUUCAGAGAUUUUCUUGGCAACCCAUUCAUCCACUGCCUUUCAUUUGUGACAGAUUAUCUUGUCACUCUCUUCAGCAUUUCUACCUAUAGAAAACACUACAAGGUGAGAGCAAUUGUUAGGAGGCACAGCAACCUUAUUUAACCUUUCUCCCCUUUCUCCUCCCCCUGUCCUCUCAUCUUGAUUCUUUUCACUCUUCCAGUUUUACAUUAAGAAACCUGUGUCCUAACUCUGAACUUACCAGAGGAAGGCUUUGUAUUUUCCCUCCAGCAUGUUGAUGACACACUACCAGGGCUGCUGACUUCUUUUCUGUUACAACCUUCCAGCUCAUUCUUCAGCCCACGUGCUCCAGCCCUGCCAGCUAUGGACCCCAACUGUGACUGCUCAAAUGGUAAGGGACUCCUAGGUUCUCAGGUUGUCUUAGGGACCAGGAACCUGGGCUCUGCCCUGGCUUUGAUUUAAGCUAAAAGGGAAAGGCUUGGGAGGAAAGACGCUGCUGUUAGCAUGGAGAAAAUGGUUGGAUUGGCUCUAAAGUGGAGGAACUGAAAGCUUUUAUCCAUUUCUUAGAGGAAGCCCUAAAUAACAAAUGUACUGGACAGUGGGGACCCAGGUAUAGGAGCCAAUUGGAGAAGGGUUCUUUUGUUGAAGAAAAUGGCUGCUAGGCUCCCCGAGUUUUAGAGGGGGACGAUCAGGGUCCCAAGAUCUGGAAUCCGUGAUAAGCAGAGGAGCAGCCCGCUAAGUCCUUGGGUUUUACUGUAAGAUCUAAGGGUUGUAGCCUCCUUUUAGGGACCUGGAGGGGGGGGAGAUUGGGGAAUGAGAGGGAAAGGAUAAUCCCAUACUUUUGUUUUAUCCUGAAAUC